GCUCAGUUGGUUGAACAUCCAACUCUUGAUUUCAGCUCAGGUCGUGAGAUCGAUUCCCACACUGGGCC
rnacentral:tRNA from 1 species